CUAAGAAUCUUCCGCAAUGGACGAAAGUCUGACGGAGCGACGCCGCGUGGGCGAAGAAGGCCGUGAGGUUGUAAAGCCCUUUUCUACUUGAGGAAUAAGCCCCUGAGGGAAUGCGGGGGUGAUGACGGUAGGGUAGGAAUAAGCCCCGGCUAAUUACGUGCCAGCAGCCGCGGUAACACGUAUGGGGCGAGCGUUGUUCGGAAUUAUUGGGCGUAAAGGGCGCGUAGGCGGAUAGACAAGUCUGGUGUGAAAGACCGCAGCUCAACUGCGGGCACGCGCUGGAAACUGUAUAUCUUGAAUCCUUGAGGGGGAACUGGAAUUCCUGGUGUAGGGGUGAAAUCUGUAGAUAUCAGGAAGAACACCGGUGGCGAAGGCGAGUUCCUGGCAAGUGAUUGACGCUGAGGCGCGAAAGCGUGGGGAGCGAACAGGAUUAGAUACCCCCGUAGUCC
rnacentral:rRNA from 1 species